rnacentral:rRNA from 1 species
AUUGAACGCUGGGGGCGGCAUGCUUAACACAUGCAAGUCGAACGGUAACAGGCCCUUCGGGUGCUGACGAGUGGCGGACGGGUGAGUAAUGCUUAGGGAAUCUGCCUAGUAGUGGGGGAUAACCCGGGGAAACUCGGGCUAAUACCGCAUACGCCCUACAGGGGAAAGCGGGGGGACUUUCGGGCCUCGCGCUAUUAGAUGAGCCUAAGUCCGAUUAGCUAGUUGGUAGGGUAAUGGCCUACCAAGGCGACGAUCGGUAGCUGGUCUGAGAGGACGACCAGCCACACUGGGACUGAGACACGGCCCAGACUCCUACGGGAGGCAGCAGUGGGGAAUAUUGGACAAGUGGGCGCAAGACCUGAUCCAGCGAUGCCGCGUGUGUGAAGAAGG